GCCGGAGUAGCUCAGUUGGUAGAGCAAUCGAUUCGUAAUCGAUAGGUCGUAGGUUCGACUCCUAUCUCCGGCACCA
rnacentral:tRNA from 1 species